rnacentral:ncRNA from 1 species
AAGUAGGGACGACCUUACCUCUCUUUUUUUCAAUGGGGACGGCCUCA